AGUGGCGAACGGGUGAGUAACACGUAGCUAACCUGCCCUCGAGUGGGGGAUAACCCAGGGAAACCUGGGCUAACACCGCAUAACAUCCUCCUAGGCAAAGGCCCGCUGGAGGAGGGGGCUGCGGCCGAUUAGCUAGUUGGUAGGGUAACGGCCUACCAAGGCGAUGAUCGGUAGCCGGCCUGAGAGGGCGCACGGCCACACUGGCACUGAAACACGGGCCAGACUCCUACGGGAGGCAGCAGUGGGGAAUUUUGCACAAUGCCCGAAAGGGUGAUGCAGCAACGCCGCGUGAGGGAUGAAGGCCUUCGGGUCGUAAACCUCUUUCGACUGGGAAAAAUGAUGGUACCGGUGGAAGAAGCCCCGGCUAACUACGUGCCAGCAGCCGCGGUAAUACGUAAG
rnacentral:rRNA from 1 species